AGUCAUAAGAAGAUCGCUUCAACCCAAGGGUACUUCAAUGGGAAGCAACAUAUAAUUAUUGACCGGAAGACUGACAAGGGUGAGCUGCCAUAAUUUUCCGCUUGUUUUGUCUUUGUUUAUAAGAGAGAGAGAGAGAGGGAUUAAAAAAAAAAAUCAGGAUGGGAAGGAAAGAAGAAGAGAGAAAGGGAGAGGAGGAAGAGAUGAGAAGGAUGAGAG
rnacentral:lncRNA from 1 species